AUGAACGCUGGCGGCGUGCUUAACACAUGCAAGUCGAACGAGAACGGAUAUUAGCUUGCUAAUAUUGUCAGCUAAGUGGCGCACGGGUGAGUAAUAUAUAGUUAAUCUGCCUUAGAGAUGGGAAUAAUUGUUGGAAACGACUUGUAAGACCCGAUAUGCCUUUAGUACAUAAGUACGCAAGGGAAACAUUUAUGGCUCUAAGAUGAGACUGUACAGUAUCAGAUAGUUGGUAGGGUAAUGGCCUACCAAGUCUAUGACGCUUAACUGGUUUGAGAGGAUGAUCAGUCACACUGGAACUGAGACACGGUCCAGACUCCUACGGGAGGCAGCAGUGGGGAAUAUUGCACAAUGGACGAAAGUCUGAUGCAGCAACGCCGCGUGGAGGAUGACACAUUUCGGUGCGUAAACUCCUUUUAUAUGAGAAGAUAAUGACGGUAUCAUAUGAAUAAGCACCGGCUAACUUCGUGCCAGCAGCCGCGGUAAUACGAGGGGUGCAAGCGUUACUCGGAAUCACUGGGCGUAAAGAGAAUGUAGGCGGGUAAUUAAGUUGGAAGUGAAAUCCUAUGGCUCAACCAUAGAACUGCUUCCAAAACUGAUUACCUAGAGUAUGGGAGAGGUAGAUGGAAUUUCUGGUGUAGGGGUAAAAUCCGUAGAGAUCAGAAGGAAUACCGAUUGCGAAGGCGAUCUACUGGAACAUUACUGACGCUCAGAUUCGAAAGCGUGGGGAGCAAACAGGAUUAGAUACCCUGGUAGUCCACGCCCUAAACGAUGCACACUAGUU
rnacentral:rRNA from 1 species